rnacentral:rRNA from 1 species
CGAUGAAGGACGUGAUAAGCUGCGAUAAGCUUCGGGGAGUUGCACGUAAACUUUGAUCCGAAGAUUUCCGAAUGAGGAAACUCAACUUAGAGUAAUGUCUAAGUAUCAUUAAGUGAAUACAUAGGCUUAAUGAGGGGAACUCAGGGAACUGAAACAUCUAAGUACCUGAAGGAAGAGAAAGAAAUUCGAUUCCGUAAGUAGCGGCGAGCGAACGCGGAUUAGCCCAAACCAAUAAAGUUUUCUUUAUUGGGGUUGCGGACAUAUCAUAACGAAGAGGUAUCGUAAUUGAAGAGGUUUGGAAAGACCCACCACAGAAGGUAAUAGUCCUGUAUGUUAAACGAGAAGACUUUAGAUAUGAUCCAGAGUACCACGGGACACGUGAAACCCUGUGGGAAGCAGGAGGGACCACCCUCCAAGGCUAAAUACUACCUAGUGACCGAUAGCGUAUAGUACCGUGAGGGAAAGGUGAAAAGAACCCCGGGAGGGGAGUGAAAUAGAACCUGAAACCCUGCACUUACAAGCUGUGGAAGCACAUUUCUUGUGUGACCGCGUACUUUUUGUAGAACGGGCCAACGAGUUACGUUAAGUAGCAAGGUUAAG